CUCCCUUCCUCGGCCCUCUUUAUCUUUUUAUGUCUUCAAGGAUGGGUUAAUAGGACUAGUUUGGAAGUUGUAAAUCUUGAUUUAUCAAUGUGAGCCCUUAUAUAAUUGUCUGGAAUGUGACUUGUGGGUAUAAAAUGCAUGCUAGGCUUAGGUUUGAGGAUUAAAGUAAGAGGCUGACGCCUUUUGGGUUAGUGUGUGAAUUAGCAAAUUGAAAAUCUUGAAAUCAUGUUUGUAAUUUCAUGAAUCUGAUUCUCAUAUGCAUACUGGGGUUUAGCUUUCUGGAUUGAAGAAAAUAAUCCCUGGCUUAGGCUUUUUGAAUGCAUUUAUUUCAUGCUCUAAACUUGCCCCUAGUCCUGGUAAUGUAUAUGUCAUCUAAAGGUUGUUGCCUUGCUUAUUCAACAUCUUUUCUUUUCUUUUUUUUUUUGUAAACAUUUUAUUGCGAUAUUACUUCUUCUGAACUGUAAUUGUUGUGCCUCAAAGAUUUAGCCAUAUAUGUUUGCUCCCUAGCCUGGUGACAAUUUUUUAGGCCAACAACAUGGGGAAAAAGCUUCCUUGGAUAAGAAAGAGAAAAGCCAAGAAAUAAUCCUUUGGUCCUGGAACAAAAUGCGAUAUUAAGGGAGUUGGAUGAUGUGGGAGGCCGUGGGUGCCUGAACUCCCAGGUAUUGAAAUGGUAGUUUCUCCCUAAGCUCUAGAAACAUGCUUAUGAAAUAAACUAUGUUUUGGGGCCUUGGAGUCUGUGCAACCAAGACCCAUCACACAACCAAACUGACUCCUUGUACAGUAGCCUCCAAUUUAUCAGUAAGUUCACUGGAGAAUGAAUGGUGAGACCGUGUCAAAGCAGUGCAAGAGACGAGUUUAAGAUGAGGAACAAGUGUUGGUGUUAGCCAUUUUCAGGCUCUGGUACUUGGCCCAAAGCAAUGUUUGUGGAAUAAGGAAAAUCUCAAUGAAUCUUUGUAUUAAUUUCUAGUAUUUAUACAAUAGAUUGCGUCAUUUUGAAUAGUAUUACAAAUUGAUAAUGUUCAUGCACAAUUAUUUAUCUAAAUCAAAAUGAUAGUUUCUCUUACUGCUCAUGGUGAUGAAUAAUCAUGAAUGACAUGGACUCUAGUUGCUUGAAAGCAAUUUUAUAUGAUUCCAUAUUUGUUGGUGUUUGGCCUUGGAAUGUAGAAAUUGCUGAUGUAAGAUAUAUUUUCUUUUUGUAACCUUUUUGGUGAUACCUCAGUGAGAAAUUAGGUGUGCAAAACUUUUCUAGUUUAAAGUUAUUUGUGGGCAUCUUUUAACAAGAACUUUUUUAGCAGAUAUUUUUAUCACUAUGAUACUAUGGUAGCAGGGUCUAAGAUUAUGGCCUUGUGAUUGCAAUGCAACAUUAGUAUUGAGCAGCCGGUCUCUCACUUUGAGGUUAAUUAUUUUUGUUCCGAUAAAACAUAUGGUGUUUGAAGGGUCAUAUUCUUUAUGCUACUGUUAUUCAUUUUUGUCAAGAGCUUGUGAUGUAGUAAGAAACUUAUUUUUGCAUCCACCUCUAUCUCUCUCUCUCUCUCUCUCUCUCUCUCUCUCCCCCCUUACGUUGGUGUACCUCACUUGUAUGCAUUUACUGGAGUUUAGUUUAUACUUUAUA